AACGCGAAGAACCUUACCAACCCUUGACAUCCCAGGACAGCCCGAGAGAUCGGGUCUCCACUUCGGUGGCCUGGAGACAGGUGCUGCAUGGCUGUCGUCAGCUCGUGUCGUGAGAUGUUCGGUUAAGUCCGGCAACGAGCGCAACCCACACUUUCAGUCGCCAUCAUUCAGUUGGGCACUCUGGAAGAACUGCCGAUGAUAAGUCGGAGGAAGGUGUGGAUGACGUCAAGUCCUCAUGGCCCUUACGGGUUGGGCUACACACGUGCUACAAUGGUGGUGACAGUGGGUUAAUCCCCAAAAGCCAUCUCAGUUCGGAUUGGGGUCUGCAACUCGACCCCAUGAAGUUGGAAUCGCUAGUAAUCGCGUAACAGCACGACGCGGUGAAUACGUUCCCGGGCCUUGUACACACCG
rnacentral:rRNA from 1 species